CCCUUAAACAAAACAGACCGUGAACGUGUCAUCCAUGUCGUCGAGGCUACGGCCCGACCAAGAGCCCCCCACCUUCGUUUCGUUGGAGAGGAGAGCCGCCAAAGAACCCACGGCGCCAAAGGCGUCAAGGAACACUGAUAUUGCCUUGCUCGGGGUCAUGCUCGGCCUGCCGCGCUUGCCCCGUGCAAUGUUGCUAUCUUAAUCCACACGACUCUCGGCAACGGAUAUCUCGGCUCUCGCAUCGAUGAAGAACGUAGCAAAAUGCGAUACCUGGUGUGAAUUGCAGAAUCCCGCGAACCAUCGAGUUUUUGAACGCAAGUUGCGCCCAAGGCCUUCUGGUUGAGGGCACGCCUGCCUGGGCGUCACGCCAAAAGACACUCCCAACCCAUCCUUGGGUACGGACGUGGUGUUUGGCUCCCCACGCCUCGUGGCGUGGUGGGCUGAAGUUGGGGCUGCYGGCAUACCGUGUCGGGCACCUGCAUGUGGUGGGCGACAUAAGUUGUUCUCGGUGCAGUGUGCAGGCACGCAGCUAGCUCCUUGGCCUAAAGGACCCAUUUACGACCGUAGCGCCUUGGUGCUCGGACCGCGACCCCAGGUCAGGCGGGACUACCCGCUGAGUUUAA
rnacentral:rRNA from 1 species